GAUGAACGCUGGCGGCGUGCCUAAUACAUGCAAGUCGAGCGAACAGAUAAGGAGCUUGCUCCUUUGACGUUAGCGGCGGACGGGUGAGUAACACGUGGGUAACCUACCUAUAAGACUGGGAUAACUUCGGGAAACCGGAGCUAAUACCGGAUAACAUUUGGAACCGCAUGGUUCUAAAGUGAAAGAUGGUUUUGCUAUCACUUAUAGAUGGACCCGCGCCGUAUUAGCUAGUUGGUAAGGUAACGGCUUACCAAGGCGACGAUACGUAGCCGACCUGAGAGGGUGAUCGGCCACACUGGAACUGAGACACGGUCCAGACUCCUACGGGAGGCAGCAGUAGGGAAUCUUCCGCAAUGGGCGAAAGCCUGACGGAGCAACGCCGCGUGAGUGAUGAAGGGUUUCGGCUCGUAAAACUCUGUUAUUAGGGAAGAACAAGUGUGUAAGUAACUGUGCACGUCUUGACGGUACCUAAUCAGAAAGCCACGGCUAACUACGUG
rnacentral:rRNA from 1 species